CGUGGGUAACCUGCCCAAGAGAUCGGGAUAACACCUGGAAACAGAUGCUAAUACCGGAUAACAACAGAUGAUGCCUAUCAACUGUUUAAAAGAUGGUUCUGCUAUCACUCUUGGAUGGACCUGCGGUGCAUUAGCUAGUUGGUAGGGUAACGGCCUACCAAGGCGAUGAUGCAUAGCCGAGUUGAGAGACUGAUCGGCCACAUUGGGACUGAGACACGGCCCAAACUCCUACGGGAGGCAGCAGCC
rnacentral:rRNA from 1 species